rnacentral:sRNA from 1 species
GCCAGGCGCGGUGGCGCACGUCUGUCAUCCCAGCGGCUCAGGAGGCUGAGGCAGGAGGAUCGUGAAUUCAAAGCCAGAAGCAGCAAAAAGCAAGGCCCUAAGCAGCUCAGUGAGACCCUGUCUCUA